GCCCUGGUAGUUCAAUGGAUAGAACAACUCCGUCCUAAGGAGAAAAUGUGGGUUCAAUUCCUGCUCAGGGCA
rnacentral:tRNA from 1 species